rnacentral:lncRNA from 1 species
GGAUUCCUUAUUCAAAAAUUAUAAAGAAUUUCAAGACGGCUACAGUAGAGCUUUAAACUAUGUGUCGGGGUCCUUCUAAAUGCAGGGCCCUGUGAGACUGCACAGAUCACACACCUGUGAAGUCAGCCCUAUAUAUGCAUAUGUAAGUGUGUAUGUGUGUGUUGUCGAGGACAUGUGUGCUUCUUCUUGGAGGAAUGCAUAAAGAUACCAUUGUCUUUUAUUCUUCCACCUCAAUUUUAGAGACUAGAUAAAUCUGCAUAUGAGGGCCUGGCCCCUUUUUAGUACUUUUCAGCCUCGGAUAGUGGUGGAAAACAUGUGAAUCCUAGUUCAAAUUUCCUCUCACUCUUUGUAGGGUUGUGAGCCCAUUAUGUAUUUUUUCUGUGCCUCAUCUUUUCAACUCGAAAAUGGGGACAUAAGGUACACUUAGUCAUGGAGUUAUUAAGGAGAUUAAAAUAAAUCCGUUAAUAUUAGUGAAGUGCCUGGAGUAAGCCUUCCCAUAGCUCUAUGUAAGCAGCUGUUAAAGUAAAAAUUUUGAAGCCUUUAUUAUGUGAGAACUUAAACUUAAACCUCCUCCCAUGUUAAGUAAGGACCAGGGAACUAUUAAGCUUCCCCCUAAGGGAACCAUUUACGACCACAGCCCUUUCUGGGUCAGGAAGGGCAUGUUGAUUUGAAAGUCCCCUAACGUGUUAAUGGAUGCUAACAAAAGACUUCCUAUUCAGGAAGCAAAGGACACCUGGGGCUGACCACCCUCACUCUUCACUGAUGUUUCCUGCUUUUGUUAAAUAUAAAGUAAAUAAAUCAAAAUAAACAAAAAGAAAGCCAAUAACAACAACUACCAAACAUCAGUAUAUCCUUUUAGUUGCUAUGGCUCCUUAAAGGACUGGAGAAUUGUCUGGAAGCAAAAUCAGUUGACUCCUAAACUCUUAAGAGAUUUUAUUGCUAUUAUGGUGCAGAAGAAGUGCUAAAGAGCCAUAUCACCUAGCUCAACAGCGUGGAAAUUGGAAACGCUGUCUUGUAAUGUCUGGAUAGGGAAGACAAGAGUCUAUGACCUGAAAGAGAGGGGGACAGAGAAUAUAUUUCCAUUUGCCAAUUACAGACACAUGUCCAGUGCAGAUGAUUGUCUUUAUGUUUUCUAACUUGGACCAUCAAACAUCCUUUCAUUCCACAGUCUUCCUCAGAUUAGCAUCUGGUGUCCUUGUUUUGCAUCCUCUCUUCACCUUGCCUUGAGUCUUCAAAGCCAACUUUAAAUGGACUGUUUUUCCUUAGCCUUCCCCUUAAUCAUAAUAAUUAAAAAGUCCAUGAAAUUAUGGUUUUGAUAACUUUUUUCUAAAAAUCAUACUAAAACAAAUAUAUAACUAUUUAAUUUUUUAAAAGUUUGUCCACAUCUCUCCUACAAUCUCUUGAACUACCAGGGUUCUGAUCUAAGAGAAGCUAGAAUCUACAGAUGUUAACACAACUCCAUGGAGGCCUGAAGCAAGAAGCUUCAUAGGGUGUGAAGGGGCAGGUGGGCCAGGCAGCAGGUGAAGGCCAUGCUCUAGAAGUGAGAUGCUGGGCAGGUCUCUCCUUUCUCCAUGCAUAAAGCAGAUGGGGAAAUGAUGGGGUGAGAAUUCACUUAGGGCUACGAAUUGCUGGGAGGUGUUUUGGGUAGCAACGAAAAACAAGUAACAGCAACAAAGAAGGCUGGACAAAAUCAUGUAUACUAUCGAACUGAAAUCUCAGCAGCAAUAACUUGAGGACCCAGGAAACUGCCAAGUCCUCAAAAGCCUUGACUUUCAGAGCUCUUGCCGGAGUAGCAAUAGGAGUGGUGGGAAAUCAAGAAAGUCAGACAUUCCAGAGUGUCCUAAAAAGAGUGUCAUCAAAAGCAUCUGAGCAUGGGAUCGAUGCUGGGCUAAAGGACUACGGAAUCCACAAGGAGCUGAAGGACGGGAGAAGCAGGAGGGCCUAUGGGUCAGUAUGGGCUGAGGAAGGUGUUCAGUGAGUAUAGGUGUGUGAGAAGAUCAAACAGACAAAGUAACAGACACACGCACACACAGAGCCAUACAGAGACACACACCUUUCUUUCUAAGAUUUUUUUUUAAGUCUAUAGAACUUUGAAUUGAUUUGACAUCCCCUCUUUAAAUAAGAGGGGACAUUCCCUCUUUUGAUAUAAGCUCUGAAAUGCAUAAGAAAUUCCUUGUAAAAAUUUACAGUCUUUUUGAAUGGAUGUUUUUUAAUAUUUUCAAUUACAGAUUUAUGGCAGAAUUUUUCAUAGGCCUGAAUUGUCUGUUUAAUAUUAAAAUGAUUUUUGUAGGGAGCCAUCUGUUAUAUGAUCAGGCAUGGAAAUUCUUUACAGGGCUUUCCAUCAGCACUCCUCCAGUGUUUGUCAUGCUUCAAAUAUCCCCAGGCACUUGUGUUUCCAUUUAGAGGAGCAAGGUAAAGGACUCAGAGGCAGGACAUGAUGUCUCCUCGAUUGUUCAGCAGCUGUUACUGAAAACACUGUGUUCGGCAUAUGUUUUUUCCCCAACCUAAGCUCAAUGUUUUCCUUUACUAUGACAAAACAAUAUCCUGAGAAAAAGGACAGUUUAUUAAUCUUUGAAUCUCGUAUCAGAACAAACUUUGCUCAUUGCACUAAUCAACUCACGUUUUUCUUCAAAGCUGUUUUAUCCUCUAAAAAUGGUAAAACUUCGGCUCAUUUUCCCCAUGAGUACUAUUCCCCUGAGUGCAAUUUCAUCGGAGCUAACUCUAUUUUACCAAGUAGAUUUCAUCUCAAGUGCUCCCUUUGAAUCACUGGGCUGGGAGCUGCCUGAAAAAGAAUGUGGGAAGGAUUUCGAGGGUGAGCUCAGGGUCAGUGGAGAGUACUACAAUUGAUUACUUAUGUCUGCUUUGGGUGUAGAAGUAGUGAGCAUGAGACACAUGUGCCCUUUAUUUGCUGUCUCUGGCCUUUACAGUUUCUAUGUCCCUCAAUUACUGUGCUCAUUAAUAAGCAUUGUGAAAUGGCUGGCCUUGAGGCAAACAUACACAAAAAAAAUCAACCUCUCUAUCUGGGAAACAAGCUUGACCCUGACAUCACAAUAACGUUAACAACAACAAUAAUAGCAGCUACAUUUGUUGAACAUUUGCUGUAAGCCCCACUGUAGGUAAUUUACUAACAUUAAAUCAUUUCAUUUAUUCCCCACAAACUACCACAAUAUACAUAUUAUUCACCCAGAUUUUUGACUAAGUCUCAAAAAAUGAAGUAACUUUACUGAGUUCACCCUUUUGCUCAACACAUCCGCACAAAUUCGUAUUGUUCUGGAUACCUAGAACCAUCACUCCCUUCCAUAACCACUCAGUCAUUUUCCUCCUUACAUUCAAAUCCUAGCAGUCUCUCCCUCUAUACAUAGCUCCUCAUCCUGGAAGACUCCUUGAUAAAGCAGAGAGAAAGACUAGCUUCAGAUCAGCUAAGUUGGACAUUCUCUGAGCCAUGACGCGCUCUUCUCUGUAGCUAUAUUAUUUCACAUGACCCAUUCUUAAUAAUUCAGCCUAACCAUCUGUUUGUUCAAUUCCAUUUAAGAAUUUUUCUUUGUAAUGGUUUUGUCAAUUGUCUGCAUUUUGAAUUUAAUUAAAUUGUUAUAUAUCUCAAUUAGGUAGUCAAUUCAAAACACUUAGUGGAUCCAAUCUGAGCUUUUCAAUAGCUGGUCAAAAUAAAUAAUCAAUGCCAUUCACCUAAUGGUCCUUCCAUGAAAAUUAGCUGUGACCUUAGUGGUAAAAAUAUGGUAAAAUGAUUUAUGGUCAUAUCCCUCUAUAUAAGAGAGAAGCAGACAAUCAUAAUUUUUAAGAGGUGUCUGUGUCCAGUUCCCUGGUGUAGUUCUUAAUGCCAAGAGAGCCAAAAGCCCCCUGUUGAUCACUGGCUUUAAAAUUCUCCAUUAUAGGUGUGAGUUAGCCAAUCGUAUCGUCCCAUCUCAUUUGCCUGGUGAUGUAUAGACUUGACUUUAGUUCCCAUUUACACCUUGCAGAAACCAAUAAUAGUUCUCUUCCUCUUGAAAAAAAAUAAACAGAAAUAUCAAAAGGAAAUACCUUUAUAGGGUGGAGACAGGACUGGAUGAGUUGUGUAUCACUGUUUACAUCCAAAUCAAAUAACGGGAAAGAAAACAAUUAGUCAAGUUCAUACUCUAGGUUCUGUUUAAUGUGUCUGUUUUCAAGCCUGUUCAAGCUAUUUUGCCUGAGCAAAGCUUUUGUUUGCCUUCUUAAGGUUUACUUUGCUUUGAGACCUUAGCGCAUGAACUGGUUUGGCAAACUUGUCUCUCUGAGGCAAAACUUGAAAAGCGAGACAUUCAAACACUUGUAAAAUGUAGAUUUUUGCUUUUACUAAAGUCCAUUCCAGGUCUAAUCUAGGUUCACUCUCUUUUACCCAACAGUUCCCUGGGCAGAAAUGUGAUCCUAGCCCAUUCACAAUCUGACUCUUCCGUUUCCCAGGAUGCACAUUAUCUAAUGUUUGAGCUUCAAUGCUGAUUUACCAUUACCACAGAGACGGGGUUUCGCCGUGUUGGCCAGUCUGGUCUCAAACUCCUGACAUCAAGUAAUCCACCUGCCUCGGCCUCCCACAGUGCUUGGAUUACAGGAAUGAGCCACCACACCUGGCUAUCAACCUGGGACACUGUAAC